rnacentral:lncRNA from 1 species
GGCUGUUGUGAUCAUCCCCAGCAGACAAGAUAAGGACAGUUCCCCCUGCAUUUAUUGUGAUUUGAGCAAAGGGAGAAGAAAGUGUUUCUUUUUCCUACCUUGGGUUUCAUCCAAGAUGUCAGCAUCCUCAGAAAUGGCUAGUACUUGCGAUCUUAUACACUAGGAUGACAUUAGACAAAUUCCACAGCACUGUGGAUGAAUUUCCCCAGCCUCAUCUGCAGAUCAGUUGCAGAAAACUGAUGAAACCAGAAGAGGUGAAAGACUUCUGGUGAUGGAGACUCAAAGCAAAAGACAGACACAGGAGCGCUGCUGUUCAACAAAGGAUGAACUCUCCUAGUGGGAGCUGUCUGCUCACUGGUACCCCAAGGGUGGUUUUUGCUGAAGG